rnacentral:rRNA from 1 species
CCUACGGGAGGCAGCAGUAGGGAAUCUUCCACAAUGGGCGAAAGCCUGAUGGAGCAACGCCGCGUGGGUGAAGAAGGUCUUCGGAUCGUAAAACCCUGUUGUUAGAGAAGAAAGUGCGUGAGAGUAACGGUUCACGUUUCGACGGUAUCUAACCAGAAAGCCACGGCUAACUACGUGCCAGCAGCUGCGGUAAUACGUAGGUGGCAAGCGUUAUCCGGAUUUAUUGGGCGUAAAGGGAACGCAGGCGGUCUUUUAAGUCUGAUGUGAAAGUCUUCGGCUUAACCGGAGUAGUGCAUUGGAAACUGGGAGACUUGAGUGCGGAAGAGGUAAGUGGAACUCCAUGUGUAGCGGUGAAAUGCGUAGAUAUAUGGAAGAACACCAGUGGCGAAGGCGGCUCUCUGGUCUGUAACUGACGCUGAGGUUCGAAAGCGUGGGUAGCAAACAGGAUUAGAUACCCGUGUAGUC